rnacentral:rRNA from 1 species
AAUCAACGCCGGCGGCGUGCCUAACACAUGCAAGUCGAACGAGAAAGUGGAGCAAUCCAUGAGUAAAGUGGCGACCGGGUGAGUAACACGUGACUAACCUACCUUCAAGUGGGGGAUAACCUCGGGAAACCGGGGCUAAUACCGCAUAAUAUCUUUGGGGCGGAAGAACCGAAGAUCAAAGGAGCAAUUCGCUGGAAGAGGGGGUCGCGGCUGAUUAGUUAGUUGGCGGGGUAAUGGCCCACCAAGACAGAGAUCGGUAGCCGGCCUGAGAGGGCGCACGGCCACACUGGAACUGAAACACGGUCCAGACUCCUACGGGAGGCAGCAGUGGGGAAUUUUGCGCAAUGGGGGAAACCCUGACGCAGCAACGCCGCGUGGAGGAUGAAGUCCCUUGGGACGUAAACUCCUUUCGACCGGGACGAUAAUGACGGUACCGGUGGAAGAAGCCCCGGCUAACUUCGUGCCAGCCGCCGCCGUAAG